AUUGAACGCUGGCGGCAGGCCUAACACAUGCAAGUCGAGCGGAUGAAGGGAGCUUGCUCCUGGAUUCAGCGGCGGACGGGUGAGUAAUGCCUAGGAAUCUGCCUGGUAGUGGGGGAUAACGUCCGGAAACGGGCGCUAAUACCGCAUACGUCCUGAGGGAGAAAGUGGGGGAUCUUCGGACCUCUCGCUAUCAGAUGAGCCUAGGUCGGAUUAGCUAGUUGGUGGGGUAAAGGCCUACCAAGGCGGCGAUCCGUAACUGGUCUGAGAGGAUGAUCGGUCACCCUGGAAGUGAGACGCGGUCCAGGCGCCUGCGAGAGGCAGCAGUGGGGAAUAGGGGGCAAUGGGGGAAAGCCUGAUCCAGCGGUGCCGCGUGUGUGAAGAAGGUCUUCGGAUUGUAAAGCACUUUAAGUGGGGAGAAAGGGCAGUAAGUUGAUACCUUGCUGUUUUGACGGUACCAACAGAAUAAGCACCGGCUAACUUCGUG
rnacentral:rRNA from 1 species